UUAACUAUUAUAUAGUACUCAGACAGUAUAGACAAACAGAGUUUAGGUCCUCUGGCAAGCGCUCGCCGGCCGGAGCCAGCAGCCCGAGGGCAGGCCUGCCAAAGCAACAAUAGUAUAUAAACAGGGUGGGAGGUCUACCCCGAAGGGCAUGAACUCUGUAAUGAUCCUUCCGCUGGUUCACCAACGGAAA
rnacentral:misc_RNA from 1 species